rnacentral:misc_RNA from 1 species
AAGUCGUAACAAGGUUACUGUAGGUGAACCUGCAGUAGGAUCAUUAUUGAAAAAUAGGGCUUUCCCAUUCUUUGGGGCCCGAACCUUCACAUAAUUUCCACACACUUGUGAAUCGUUGGAGCGUUUUUGGAAGGAUUGGCUUCUGGCCUUUUCGGAAAAGUGACGCUCUGGCACCCAAUCAAUUAUUACAAACACUGAGUUAAUGGAUGUAGUUGUAAACUUGUCUUUUGACAGAAACAAAAAUACAACUUUCGACAACGGAUCUCUUGGUUCUCC